UCCGAGUUGACCCCGGCAGUCUCCUAUGAGUCCCCGGCACUACCCGCUGGCAACAUAGAACGAGGGUUGCGCUCGUUGCGGGACUUAACCCAACAUCUCACGACACGAGCUGACGACAACCAUGCACCACCUGUACACCGACCUUGCGGGGCACCCAUCUCUGGGUGUUUCCGGCGUAUGUCAAGCCUUGGUAAGGUUCUUCGCGUUGCAUCGAAUUAAGCCACAUGCUCCACCGCUUGUGCGGGCCCCCGCCAAUUCCUUUGAGUUUUAGUCUUGCGACCGUAGUUCCCAGGCGGAUCACUUAAUGCGUUAGCUGCGGCACGGAACCCGUGGAAUGGACCCCACACCUAGCGCCCAACGUUUACGGCAUGGACUAC
rnacentral:misc_RNA from 1 species